rnacentral:rRNA from 1 species
AUUGAACGCUGGCGGCAGGCCUAACACAUGCAAGUCGAACGAGUGGCGGACGGGUGAGUAAUGUCUGGGAAACUGCCUGAUGGAGGGGGAUAACUACUGGACACGGUAGCUAAUACCGCAUACCAUCGGAUGUGCCCAGAUGGGAUUAGCAAGUAGGUGGGGUAAAGGCGCACCUAGGCGACGAUCCCUAGCUGGUCUGAGAGGAUGACCAGCCACACUGGAACUGAGACACGGUCCAGACUCCUAAGGGAGGCAGAAGUGGGGAAUAUUGGACAAGUGGCGAAAGCCUGAUGCAGCCAUGCCGCGUGUAUGAAGAAGGCCUUCGGGUUGUAAAGUACUGUCAGCGGGGAGGCGUUACCCGCACAAGAAGCACCGGCUAACUCCGUGCCAGCAGCCGCGGUAAUAC